rnacentral:misc_RNA from 1 species
UUUCCGUAGGUGAACCUGCGGAAGGAUCAUUAAUAAAUUUUUUUGAAAUAAAAAAAAAUAAUAAUCAUCCUACCCUUUGUGAAUUUGUUUGUUGAAUAAUUUUUAAAAUUAUUUAUUGUCUAUCCAGUUGGAAAGUUGUAAAAAGACUAGAAGGCUUGGAGCGGCAUAAAUAAAUUUAAAGACUUUUUCUAAAAUUAACUUUUGUAUUCAUUGUCUAAAAUAAUUUUUAUAAUAUAUAAAACAACUUUGACAAUGGAUCUCUUGGUUCUCGCACGAUGAAGAACGCAGCAAAAUGCGAUAAGUAAUGUGAAUUGCAGAAUACGUGAAUCAUCGAAUCUUCGAGCGCAUAUUGCACUUUUUAGUUACUAAAAAAGUAUGUCUGUUUGAGUAUCAGUAAAAUAUUCUCAUAAAAUUUUUUAAUUUUAUGGUUAUGAGUGUUUUACAACGAUAAACAAGUUGUUUCACUUUAAAUUGAAUUUUUUGAAGAAAUUCUUAAUUCAAAUUAAAUUUGGAUAAAAUUUCCGUAAAAAGGAAUAACUAUACAAGUUUAAUAAGAAUUUAGUGAUUCUUUUAUGAAAAGGAAAUUUAUUAAAUAACUUGAUCUCAAUCAGAUAAGAGUCCCGCUGAACUUAAGCAUAUCAAUAAGCGGAGGAAAAGAAACUAACAAGGAUUCCCUAGUAACGGCGAGUGAAGCGGGAAGAGCUCAAAUUUGAAUCUUAAAGGUUUCCCUUACGAAUUGUAGUUUAAGAAGUGUUUCUGUUGAGGUUUUGGUAAAAGUUCUUUGAAUAGGACAUCAUAGAGGGUGAGAAUCCGUAUUUGACCUUUACUUUCAACUUUGUGAUACACUUCAAAGAGUCGGAUUGUUUGGGAAUGCAGUCCAAAUGGGUGGUAAUUUCAUCUAAAGCUAAAUAUUGGCGAGAGACCGAUAGCGAACAAGUACGUGAGGAAAGAUGAAAGAACUUUGAAAGAGAGUUAAACAGUACGUGAAAUUGUCAAAAGGGAAGCGUUUGACACCAGUGUUGUUUUUCUGAAAUCAAUUAAAGAACUGUUUAUGCUAAGCUGUUUAGACUUUAUCAGCUAUCUGUUUAGUUUUGAGCUUUUCUUUAAUGCACUUUCAGUUAACAAGUCAACAUCAAUUCUUUUGCUGUAAAAAGCUUGAGGAAGGUGGCUUGAGAUUCGUCUUAAGUGUUAUAGCCUCUUGCCUAUGCAGUUGGAGAGAUUGAGGUCUGCAGCGUAGAUCUUCGGGCUAAAUGCAUUUGUGCUAAGUUAUAGCAUUUUAUAGACAGCUUGUUGACUAUGAUUGUCUUGUAGCUUACUCGCUUAUGUUAUU